GAUGAACGCUGGCGGCGUGCCUAAUACAUGCAAGUCGAGCGAACAGACGAGGAGCUUGCUCCUCUGACGUUAGCGGCGGACGGGUGAGUAACACGUGGAUAACCUACCUAUAAGACUGGGAUAACUUCGGGAAACCGGAGCUAAUACCGGAUAAUAUAUUGAGCCGCAUGGUUCAACAGUGAAAGACGGUUUUGCUGUCACUUAUAGAUGGAUCCGCGCCGCAUUAGCUAGUUGGUAAGGUAACGGCUUACCAAGGCAACGAUGCGUAGCCGACCUGAGAGGGUGAUCGGCCACACUGGAACUGAGACACGGACCAGACUCCUACGGGAGGCAGCAGUAGGGAAUCUUCCGCAAUGGGCGAAAGCCUGACGGAGCAACGCCGCGUGAGUGAUGAAGGUCUUCGGAUCGUAAAACUCUGUUAUUAGGGAAGAACAAAUGUGUAAGUAACUAUGCACGUCUUGACGGUACCUAAUCAGAAAGCCACGGCUAACUACGUG
rnacentral:rRNA from 1 species